rnacentral:sRNA from 1 species
CCAAAGCGAAACUAGGGUUCCGGCUCCCGUCUCAGGGAGCGUUCAGGACCGAGGGUUUCCGGCUUCGUCAUGACGAGGCUCCACGGAGGGAUAAAAGCCCGGGAGAU